GAAGGGGGUAGUCGAUGGGAACCACGUUAAUAUUCGUGGGCCUGGAGAUGUGUGACGGAUCGUGGAAGUUGUGUGUCCUUAUUGGAUUGAACAUGCAGCCAAGCGGUUCCAGGAAAUAGCCUCUCCGUAUAGACCGUACCCGAAACCGACACAGGUGGUCAGGUAGAGUAUACCAAGGCGCUUGAGAGAAGUAUCCUGAAGGAACUCGGCAAAUUGCCUCCGUACCUUCGGAAGAAGGAGGCCCCAUCUAUGCGCAAGCACUGGUGGGGGGCACAGGCCAGGGGGUAGCGACUGUUUAUCAAAAACAUAGGUCUAUGCGAACACGUAAGUGGAUGUAUAUGGACUGACGCCUGCCCGGUGCUCGAAGGUUAAAAGGAGGGGUUAUCGAUUCGUCGAGAAGCUCUGAAUUGAAGCCCGAGUAAACGGCGGCCGUAACAAUAACGGUCCUAAGGUAGCGA
rnacentral:rRNA from 13 species